UUCGUCUCUCUCAACUCUUCACCUCUCAGAGACAAAAGGAAACCCUAAGUUGCCACCAAAAACUCCGUGCUCUUUCCGAUGGCGGCGCCACCACCAAACUACCCCAAAUCAACAUCCCAAACUCCCCUUCCUCCCCUCAUAUAUAAUUCGUCGUUGUUUCCCUUCGAAUCUUAAAUCCGAGUUCGACCUUUAAAAGUUUAAAAAACAUUUUUCAUCGAACCUGGUAGCAUGCAUGCUCAUAGGGUGUUGUUCUUUCGAGCUUUGAAGUUUGGAUUCAAAAAAAUUGAUGUCGUUCAGUUGUUCUUGACAAAUAACAAAGGAUCAACAUUAGUUUUGUUAGGUCAUUUGUCUCAAGUAGGUUUCGAGUCCUGAUUUGGUAAGUUCCCCCCCCCCCCCCCCCCCCUUUUUUUUUUUUUUUUUUUUUUUUUUUUUUUUUUUUUGUUUUUUUUUUUUUUUUUUUUUUUUUUUUUUUUUUUUUUUNNNNNNNNNNNNUCCUUCGAUUUUACAUUGGUUUAGUUUUCUUCUACUAGCUUAUUUGAAAGUAGACCAAUCCUCCGGGUUUAAAUUGUCUUCUGUUCGUUGUUUUUUUUCUUUUUCCUUUGUAAAGGCUUGUUCAAUGUUUUCCUUAAUUGUGCUAUUAGCCUAUUUAAAGUUCUGAUAUCAUAUCUCGUUUAGUCACCUAGUUAAUUUAAUUAAGGUUAUUUUGAUAACUUGGUUAAUUUACUGCUUACUUGUGUGUAGUAAUCAGUCGAUUAGUGUAGGUUUUAAUUCUCGAAAUCAUUCAAGUGUUUGCCCUUUGUUUGUUAACUGAUAUGGUUACAAUUUAUUUUGUUGUUUGGGCUUUUAAGUCAUUGCAUACCACACCCCAAUGGGGUUUGGUUAGAUCAUUGGGUUAGAAUUGAGCCCGCAAUUUGUUUAACUAUCGGGUAAUUUUGAAUCAUUUGUGUUCCUAGAGUAAAAACAAAGGUUUAAAGGGUUAAUUUAGGAACUCUAGGUGGGGGAAUCUCAGUAAGUGAUUGAGGAAGCUUCCUAGAAUUUGGGGUGGUGAGCUAACUGAAAAUCUGAAUUUUACACCAAGGUUUUCUAAUUAAAAAUGAAAAUUAGAAAAUGUCCUAAAGGCAAAACUUAGUUCAACUCUACAGCCCUAAUACCUUGCCUAUAAAGGCAUCGUUUCUUCACCAACAAGGGAAAUUUUUGGAGAUAAAAAUACUAAAAAUUUAAACAGCUAGAGUUUUUGGGAGGAAAAGUCUGAAAUAGUAUUGAGCGCAAGAAGAAACAACUUCAAAAUUCUUGUGUUUUUAGUGAACAAUUGGUCCAGUAUUGAGUUAGUCUCUUCAUUAUGAAACCCAAAAUGAUUUUCUUAGCUUAUUCUGGAAUGGAAGCUAGUUUAAGGGAUGUUGGGUCACUGUUCCAUUGAUGAAAUUCUGAACUGCUUCCGUUGUUUGCUUCUUCUUUAUUGAACUACUACCGUUGUUGUCAAAUAACUUAAAGAUCUUGUUUUGGUUUUUAUCUGGCUGUAUUAAGGCACACACUCCUGGGAUCUAUUGAUUGUGAAGUUAAAUUUGAAAAAUAAAAAAUAGAAGUUUAAAGCAUGAUACCAAUCUUAUUUGUGAUUCACUUGUAUCUUUUGUUUUGACGUUAUGUUUCUUUUAGUAGCAUGAAAUGUUGUAUUAUCUAGUUGAGUCUUGUUUUAGACAUUGAGUUUUGUUAUUGUAUUUAGUUUGGGACCAUUAUGAAACUUGGGAAACAUUUUAUUUGGUUGAAUCGGUAGUUUUAGACUCUACAUUCCACCGCUUAAAUCAUGUAAUGUGGACUGAAUUGGACAUUCUCUAUGAUCUCAUGAAAUUGUCCAUUACGUGGUUAAAA
rnacentral:lncRNA from 1 species